GUCGACGACAACCAUCAACCCAGCCGCUGCCGCGCCGCCGUCCCCGGACCGCCGGCCGCCCACUCUUCCUCUUCUUUUGGCGGAGAAUUCUCUUUAGGCGACUUUUGAAAGUGUUAAGGUGGCCUAUCAGUUUGUUUACACAAGUCUCUAAGGAUCAAUAAGCGUUGCCCAUCUACAGGUUUGAAGAUGAUGCAUCAUUGGGAUCGGGAUUAGAGAGCUUGUAGUUCUAUUCGUUUAAUUAAGUGAUUUAAUUUGUUAACUUGGUUUUGAAAUUUGUCGUACUAUUCGUAUUUCCUUAAUUCAGUUAAUUGGUUUGGACCUAAUAUGUAAUAGAUUAUUUAUGAACCUAAAAGUUAGUUUCAUGUUUUCCGCUGCAAAAUUCUGAAUAAGCCGUAACGUUUUCACACGGGCGAUAAUACUUUGAUAAUUCCCUACAGUUAUAUUUAA